rnacentral:rRNA from 1 species
CAAUAGCGUAUAUUAAAGUUGUUGCAGUUAAAAAGCUCGUAGUUGGACCUUGGACCUGGACAGGCGGUCCGCCUCACGGCGUGUACUGUCUUGCUGGGUCUCUCCUCUUGGUGAUCUGUUGUUUCGGCAGCAGGGAACCAGGACUUUUACUUUGAAAAAAUUAGAGUGUUCAAAGCAGGCUCGACGCCGGAAUAUAUUAGCAUGGAAUAAUAAAAUAGGACGUGCGGUUCUAUUUUGUUGGUUUUUGGAAUCGCCGUAAUGAUUAAUAGGGACAGUCGGGGGCAUUAGUACUCACAUGCUAGAGGUGAAAUUCUUGGAUUUUGUGAAGACUAACUUCUGCGAAAGCAUUUGCCAAGGAUGUUUUCAUUAA